ACAUACGACCAUACCUACUGGAGAACUCGGGAUCCCGUCCGCUCUCCCAUAGAUAAGCCAGCCAGUAAGGGUCGGACUAGUAGUUGGGUGGGUGACCACCAGCGAAUCCCUGAUGUUGUAUGUU
rnacentral:rRNA from 1 species